UAACAUAUAAAUGAAUAUUUUAUAUUCUGUGUAUUUUAGGGAGUUGAUCUACGACAAUAUUCCAAACAGAUAGAGUCGGAGUUACUUCAGGUAGAAAAUGCUUCGAUACAGGACUAUAUCAAGGAGAGUGAGAAUAUUGCCAGCCUUCAUAAACAGAUAGCAGCUUGUGACACCAUACUAGAGAGGAUGGAGGAGAUGUUGAAUGGGUUCCAGUCUGAUCUCAGUAGUAUAAGUACUGAGAUACAGUCACUACAAGAACAAAGUAUAGCCAUGAAUGUCAAGUUGAAGAAUAGACAGUCUAUACGUGGGGAGCUCAGUCAGUUUGUAGAUGAAAUGGUUAUACCAGAAUCAAUGAUUAA